GAUGGUCCCGCUUGCGGGGCCUGAUUAGUGGCGAACGGGUGAGUAAUACGUGAGUAACCUGCCCUUGACUCUGGGAUAAGCCUGGGAAACUGGGUCUAAUACUGGAUACUACUGUCCAUCGCAUGGUGGGUGGUGGAAAGGGUUUUACUGGUUUUGGAUGGGCUCACGGCCUAUCAGCUUGUUGGUGGGGUAAUGGCUCACCAAGGCGACGACGGGUAGCCGGCCUGAGAGGGUGACCGGCCACACUGGGACUGAGACACGGCCCAGACUCCUACGGGAGGCAGCAGUGGGGAAUAUUGCACAAUGGGCGAAAGCCUGAUGCAGCGACGCCGCGUGAGGGAUGACGGCCUUCGGGUUGUAAACCUCUUUCAGUAGGGAAGAAGCGAAAGUGACGGUACCUGCAGAAGAAGCGCCGGCUAACUACGUGCCAGCAGCCGCGGUAAUACGUAGGGCGCAAGCGUUGUCCGGAAUUAUUGGGCGUAAAGAGCUCGUAGGCGGUUUGUCGCGUCUGCUGUGAAAGCCCGGGGCUCAACCCCGGGUCUGCAGUGGGUACGGGCAGACUAGAGUGCAGUAGGGGAGACUGGAAUUCCUGGUGUAGCGGUGAAAUGCGCAGAUAUCAGGAGGAACACCGAUGGCGAAGGCAGGUCUCUGGGCUGUUACUGACGCUGAGGAGCGAAAGCAUGGGGAGCGAACAGGAUUAGAUACCCUGGUAGU
rnacentral:rRNA from 1 species